UUUUUUUUUUUUAAUAUAAAUUAUGUCCACCUAAUUUAACCCUGGCACCAAUUGUGGCUGGCUUAUGUUAUACAUCACUCCCCUUUUCAAAUUUCAUGCAUAGAAUACUUUUCACUUCUACACUUGAAAUGCUUUGGCACACCUUUGGGCUGGCAAUAAAUGAUACCAAUAUUGAGAUAGGUUUAUAUAAUUGAUUAAAAGAAAUUGGCCAUAAUUGAUUCUUGGAUCAAACGUUUGGGCUUAUUGCCCCCCCAGCGGCCAUAGUUGGUGUAAUUUACCCAUUGCUUGUUACCUAAGAAACCAGCUAAAUCAAUUUGAAAGGAUUUUAAUGUGCUUAAAUAGAA
rnacentral:misc_RNA from 1 species